rnacentral:rRNA from 1 species
AUUGAACGCUGGCGGCAGGCCUAACACAUGCAAGUCGAGCGGCAGCACUUCGGGUGGCGAGCGGCGAACGGGUGAGUAAUACAUGGGAAUCUGCCUGGUAGUGGGGGAUAACUCUGGGAAACUAGAGGUAAUACCGCAUACGCCCUACGGGGGAAAGCGGGGGGAUCUUCGGACCUCGCGCUAUCAGAGGAGCCCAUGUCCGAUUAGCUAGUUGGUGAGGUAAAGGCUCACCAAGGCGACGAUCGGUAACUGGUCUGAGAGGAUGAUCAGUCACACUGGAACUGAGACACGGUCCAGACUCCUACGGGAGGCAGCAGUGGGGAAUAUUGGACAAUAGGGCGCAAGCCUGAUCCAGCCAUGCCGCGUGUGUGAAGAAGGUCUUCGGAUUGUAAAGCACUUUAAGUUGGGAGGAAGGGUAGUAGCUUAAUACGUUGCUACUUUGACGUUACCG